rnacentral:lncRNA from 1 species
CUAUUAAAGCCUCGGUUAACAUACCUCUGCGGCUAGACGGCCGCAUCCGCAUCUCCACGCCUCCUCGCUGCUCGCGCACAGGGCAAACGAAGCGAUGGCGACGGCGACGGUGGUUGGUGGACCUGGCAGGAUGGAGGCUGCGGCGUCGUCGUCGUCGGCGGCGGAGCUCACCGCCGCUGUUGCCGCCCAGAGGUUGCUAGGCCUGCUCGCUCUUGCGGUGAGUAAUUUUCCCCCCAUUUUCUUCUAGUGUGACCUGUGUUAUCGCUGUCCAAUUGCUGGAUUUGGUAGAGACGGCUAGUGAUAGCGAUAAUUGUGUGAAUUUGCUGCCUUUGCGGGCUUUUACCCCCAUUACCAUGUGACUCGGCUGCUGCGAAUAGAGCUAAUUCUUCAUACAUGGCGUACUUUGCGUUUGACUGAAGAAUUUUGAAGUAUUCGAGUCUGCAGAUCUAGUGAUAUGUUCCAGUGCUGUUUAGGGAGAUAUUUGAUUUUGCUGUGUGGGAAUUUAGGCCCUCUUUUUGCCUGGGGAAGUAUAGUUCUUGUGAAUAGAUCUAAGCAGAUCUGGGUAAUUGAAUUAGGAAAUUUUAGAUUCAAUGAACCAGAUCAGUGAACAACUCAAUGCUGUAGGAAGCUACUGUAAGCGGCAUUUGUCCUGUCUUUUACCAAUUGAUGUCCUGUCUUUUACCAAUUGACCAAUUGAUUUUGUCAGGAUUGGCACAAAUUGAAAACAAGAUGUAUAUCUAGAACUGAUCGGAUUACAGGCAUUAGUUAUGUUUAGAGGAGUGUCUUCUCAAGCUCAACAAGUUAGGCAUUGCUAAAAUGAAUGUAUUGAAGAAUUCUAGCUCUGGUUGGCGAAGUAUUUAUUUUGCUGCUUAGUGCCCUAGCCCGUCUAAUGGGUGAUCAGGUGCUAUGUGCCACCUUGGUCAAAAGUCAACCCAAUUAGUUGUCAUACUACCCUCCGAUUACAAAACUAGUGGGUUUUUUGUUGAUCAAAAUCAUGAUGAUCCCCACCUAAUGUGAAAAUAAGCUAUGUAUAGAUGAUAUAUAGGAUUGCUUUAUCUUUUUCUUAUAGUAUCUUCCCACUUGUUUUACGGCUCUUGUAUGAAAGAUGCUUUGCUUAUUUAAUUUUUUCCUGUUAUCCUGUGCUGAUGCAACUGCAUUGUUUCUUAGAUUCAAGCUGUAAACAGUGGAUCAGAAAUAUUGAAUGAAGACCAGAGGGCAAUUUACAAGUAGGUUUCUUAACUCUUUGUCUAAGUGUUUGUUUAGUGGCUUAGUUUAGAAAAAAUGUUUUGUGCCCUGACUAGUUUGUUCAUGUAUUUUUUGAAGGCUACUUGGCAGAAUCAAAUCAGACAGUGUUCCUGAGAAUAAGGAUGCUGGAGGGUCGGAUGACGACGACGACGACGAUGAUGAAGAUGAGGAUGAUGAUGGGGGUGAAGAUGAUGAUGAUGCUGAGGAGUACUCUGGGGAUGAUGGGGGUGAAGAUGAUGAUGAUGACGAUGAUGAUCCUGAGGCUAAUGGUGAAGGAGGGAGUGAUGACGAUGACGAUGAUGAUGAAGAUGGUGAUGACGAUGGUGAGGAUGACGAUGAUGAUGACGACGAUGAUGAUGAUGAAGAUGACGACGAAGAUGAGGACCAGCCACCUUCUAAGAAGAAGAAGUGAUCUGGCAAUUUUCACCCUGCAUCCACCCCCUUGC